rnacentral:lncRNA from 7 species
UAGGAGAGACAUUCAGAUAUCAUCAGCCCUUGUUUUCUUAUUGUAAACUGCCAUUUGCAGCGCUUGUGACAAAACAGGCGAAGACUUGCUGUUUUGCAGAGAUAUGGAGAACUGAAAUUGCAUUGCUAUAAGAAAGCAAGUCUGUGGCAUGCCAAUAUAAAAUACAACAUGAAGAUGUGCUCUGGCUGUUGUUUGCAGCCAUAGGAGAAUAUCACAAUGUUCAGGACCAAACAGCGUGUUAACCCCAGGUUUAAAAAGGGAAAACAGAAAAUAUCCUUAUACAGAAAUGUGACUAAAUUUUAAAGAUAUGUUGUGGAAAUCGCCUCCUUAAGUUUGUGGGUUCCUGAAUUGUCUUUGUCUUUUUAAAGUCUGAGUCUUCCAUGUUGUUCCAACAUCUGCAAAGCUUUUCAGUAAACUAAGAAUUGCACCAGUUGUUCCACUGUGCAUGAGUUCCAGACGGUGUUCAUUAUGCAGUAUAUGGCAUGAUCUUUGGUGGAUAGGUUUUGCUGGAGUGUACCCGUACCAUGUGCCUUUCUUUUCAGUUCCUAAGUUCUUUGUUCUUUUCUUAACAAUUCUUUGCCAUAAAAUGCCAUGUACUAUAAACUGUGAGGUACAUUAUUCUUGGCUAAUUGAAGCUGGAACUGUGUAAUAAUAGUCCUCAUUUUAGACCUGCUCUGCUACAAUUGCAGAUAUUUCAAUUAUAAUAUAGGAAGCAAUGUUUCCAACAUUUUAUAUAUAUCUUUAUAAACAAGACUCUGACAGUACUGAAUCAAGGUUGGUGAGGAGGGCUGUAUAUUCCUCAAAUGCAUUCUGAACUCUGUAACCAAAAAAGAGAAAAUAAGUUUUAUUCUUCUGCAUGGAGUCUGGAUUGAGAGUUUUAAAAUUUUAUGAAGUCUUGACAUAUUGACAGUGUGGAAAGCACCAGAUCCUGUGUUCUUGUGGUUUGUAGGAGACUGGCAUGUUUUUUUUUAAAUUUGUUCUCUGCUUUGACUUCAUUGAAAGCUUGAAACUGAACCCAGCACAGGCUGGAAACCUAAAAAGACAAGCAGAACACUUUAAAAGAAAAUAAAAUGGAAAACAUGACUGAG